rnacentral:rRNA from 1 species
CUCAGAGUGAACGCUGGCGGCAUGCCUAAUACAUGCAAGUCGAACGAGAACGGAGAUAGCUUGCUAUCUUGUCAGCUAAGUGGCGCACGGGUGAGUAAUAUAUAGUUAACAUGCCUCUUAGUAGGGGAUAACAGUUAGAAAUGACUGCUAAUACCCUAUACUCCUUUAUAAUGGGAAUUAUAAAGGGAAAGAUUUAUUGCUAAGAGAUUGGACUAUAUGAUAUCAGGUAGUUGGUAGGGUAAGAGCCUACCAAGCCUAUGACGUCUAACUGGUUUGAGAGGAUGAUCAGUCACACUGGAACUGAGACACGGUCCAGACUCCUACGGGAGGCAGCAGUAGGGAAUAUUGCACAAUGGAGGAAACUCUGAUGCAGCAAUGCCGCGUGGAGGAUGAAGGCUUUCGAGUCGUAAACUCCUUUUAUAUAAGAAGAUUAUGACGGUAUUAUAUGAAUAAGCACCGGCUAACUCCGUGU